rnacentral:tRNA from 1 species
GCCUUGAUGGUGAAAUGGUAGACACGCGAGACUCAAAAUCUCGUGCUGAAGAGCGUGGAGGUUCGAGUCCUCUCGAAGGCA